AUGGGUGCUAGCUCAGUCUCUAUAAGUAGUUCAGUAGUAAUACCACAUUCAGUAGUAGUUCUUCCUCAUCUUAUAGUUCAGUAGUAGUUCUGCUAGCUCAGUCUCUAUCAGGAACGACUUGAGAGAUACUAGUGCUCUGAUGUGUCUAAUCUUGUGAUCGUGGGUGAGGGUGAUAGAACUGAAAUCAGAAGUUACUAGCUACAGGAGCGGACCUAGCUCAACU
rnacentral:lncRNA from 1 species